UACGUAGCAGCGAGCGUUGUUCGGAAUUACUGGGCGUAAAGAGUGUGUAGGCGGUGUUCCCAGUCUGUUGUGAAAUCUCCCGGCUUAACUGGGAGGGUGCAGCGGAAACUAGAAUGCUAGAGGGUGGGAGAGGUAAGCGGAAUUCCUGGUGUAGCGGUGAAAUGCGCAGAUAUCAGGAGGAACACCGGUGGCGAAGGCGGGUCUCUGGGCCGAUACUGACGCUGAGGAGCGAAAGCGUGGGGAGCGAACAGG
rnacentral:rRNA from 1 species